rnacentral:lncRNA from 1 species
UCCAUCUUCCAUAGCUUUUAGCCAUGAUUUGUCUUGAGCUGCCUCUGCAUAUUUCUCUAGUUCAAUGAUGCACAAAUUGCACUGUGCAAGAACAUCAUCUAACCUUUUCCAUUUCAAGGGUGAAUGGUCAUAAGCUUGAGUAUUUCUAUCUUCACUGCUUAUUCCACUUGAGAUGUGUUGUGAUGAUGCUUGAAGAGGUAAUGG